rnacentral:rRNA from 1 species
CCCCACGUUCGGAUUGAAGGCUGAAAUUCGCCUUUAUGAAGCCGGAAUUGCUAGUAAUGGCAGGUCAGCAUACUGCCGUGAAUACGUUCCCGGGCCUUGUACACACCGCCCGUCACACCAUGAGAGUUGGGGAUACCCGAAGCCUGUGAGCCAACAGUUAAAUGGGCAGCAGUCGAAGGUAGAAUCAAUGAUUGGGGUGAAGUCGUAACAAGGUAUC